GUAAAAAGUAGAAUAAUAGAUUUGAAAUAUUUAUUAUAUAGAUUUAAAGAGAUAAUCAUGGAGUAUAAUAAUUAAAUUUAAUAAAUUUAAUAUAACUAUUAAUAGAAUUAGGUUACUAAUAAAUUAAUAACAAUUAAUUUUAAAACCUAAAGGUAAACCUUUAUAUUAAUAAUGUUUUUUUUUAUUAUUUUUAUAAUAAGAAUAAUUAUUAAUAAUAAUAAACUAAGUGAACUGAAACAUCUAAGUAACUUAAGGAUAAGAAAUCAACAGAGAUAUUAUGAGUAUUGGUGAGAGAAAAUAAUAAAGGUCUAAUAAGUAUUAUGUGAAAAAAAUGUAAGAAAAUAGGAUAACAAAUUCUAAGACUAAAUACUAUUAAUAAGUAUAGUAAGUACCGUAAGGGAAAGUAUGAAAAUGAUUAUUUUAUAAGCAAUCAUGAAUAUAUUAUAUUAUAUUAAUGAUGUACCUUUUGUAUAAUGGGUCAGCAAGUAAUUAAUAUUAGUAAAACAAUAAGUUAUAAAUAAAUAGAAUAAUAUAUAUAUAUAUAAAAAUAUAUUAAAAUAUUUAAUUAAUAUUAAUUGACCCGAAAGCAAACGAUCUAACUAUGAUAAGAUGGAUAAACGAUCGAACAGGUUGAUGUUGCAAUAUCAUCUGAUUAAUUGUGGUUAGUAGUGAAAGACAAAUCUGGUUUGCAGAUAGCUGGUUUUCUAUGAAAUAUAUGUAAGUAUAGCCUUUAUAAAUAAUAAUUAUUAUAUAAUAUUAUAUUAAUAUUAUAUAAAGAAUGGUACAGCAAUUAAUAUAUAUUAGGGAACUAUUAAAGUUUUAUUAAUAAUAUUAAAUCUCGAAAUAUUUAAUUAUAUAUAAUAAAGAGUCAGAUUAUGUGCGAUAAGGUAAAUAAUCUAAAGGGAAACAGCCCAGAUUAAGAUAUAAAGUUCCUAAUAAAUAAUAAGUGAAAUAAAUAUUAAAAUAUUAUAAUAUAAUCAGUUAAUGGGUUUGACAAUAACCAUUUUUUAAUGAACAUGUAACAAUGCACUGAUUUAUAAUAAAUAAAAAAAUAAUAUUUAAAAUCAAAUAUAUAUAUAUUUGUUAAUAGAUAAUAUACGGAUCUUAAUAAUAAGAAUUAUUUAAUUCCUAAUAUGGAAUAUUAUAUUUUUAUAAUAAAAAUAUAAAUACUGAAUAUCUAAAUAUUAUUAUUACUUUUUUUUUUAAUAAUAAUAAUAUGGUAAUAGAACAUUUAAUGAUAAUAUAUAUUAGUUAUUAAUUAAUAUAUGUAUUAAUUAAAUAGAGAAUGCUGACAUGAGUAACGAAAAAAAGGUAUAAACCUUUUCACCUAAAACAUAAGGUUUAACUAUAAAAGUACGGCCCCUAAUUAAAUUAAUAAGAAUAUAAAUAUAUUUAAGAUGGGAUAAUCUAUAUUAAUAAAAAUUUAUCUUAAAAUAUAUAUAUUAUUAAUAAUUAUAUUAAUAAUAUAUAUAAUUAUAUUAUAUAUUAUAUAUUUUUUUUUAUAUAAUAUAAACUAAUAAAGAUCAGGAAAUAAUUAAUGUAUACCGUAAUGUAGACCGACUCAGGUAUGUAAGUAGAGAAUAUGAAGGUGAAUUAGAUAAUUAAAGGGAAGGAACUCGGCAAAGAUAGCUCAUAAGUUAGUCAAUAAAGAGUAAUAAGAACAAAGUUGUACAACUGUUUACUAAAAACACCGCACUUUGCAGAAACGAUAAGUUUAAGUAUAAGGUGUGAACUCUGCUCCAUGCUUAAUAUAUAAAUAAAAUUAUUUAACGAUAAUUUUAUUAAAUUUAGGUAAAUAGCAGCCUUAUUAUGAGGGUUAUAAUGUAGCGAAAUUCCUUGGCCUAUAAUUGAGGUCCCGCAUGAAUGACGUAAUGAUACAACAACUGUCUCCCCUUUAAGCUAAGUGAAAUUGAAAUCGUAGUGAAGAUGCUAUGUACCUUCAGCAAGACGGAAAGACCCUAUGCAGCUUUACUGUAAUUAGAUAGAUCGAAUUAUUGUUUAUUAUAUUCAGCAUAUUAAGUAAUCCUAUUAUUAGGUAAUCGUUUAGAUAUUAAUGAGAUACUUAUUAUAAUAUAAUGAUAAUUCUAAUCUUAUAAAUAAUUAUUAUUAUUAUUAUUAAUAAUAAUAAUAUGCUUUCAAGCAUAGUGAUAAAACAUAUUUAUAUGAUAAUCACUUUACUUAAUAGAUAUAAUUCUUAAGUAAUAUAUAAUAUAUAUUAUAUAUAUAUUAUAUAUAAUAUAAGAGACAAUCUCUAAUUGGUAGUUUUGAUGGGGCGUCAUUAUCAGCAAAAGUAUCUGAAUAAGUCCAUAAAUAAAUAUAUAAAAUUAUUGAAUAAAAAAAAUAAUAUAUAUUAUAUAUAUUAAUUAUAAAUUGAAAUAUGUUUAUAUAAAUUUAUAUUUAUUGAAUAUAUUUUAGUAAUAGAUAAAAAUAUGUACAGUUAAAUUGUAAGGAAAACAAUAAUAACUUUCUUAAAAAUAAUUAUGGAAAGAAUUAAAUUAAUAUAAUGGUAUAACUGUGCGAUAAUUGUAACACAAACGAGUGAAACAAGUACGUAAGUAUGGCAUAAUGAACAAAUAACACUGAUUGUAAAGGUUAUUGAUAACGAAUAAAAGUUACGCUAGGGAUAACAGGGUAAUAUAACGAAAGAGUAGAUAUUGUAAGUUAUGUUUGCCACCUCGAUGUCGACUCAACAUUUCCUCUUGGUUGUAAAAGCUAAGAAGGGUUUGACUGUUCGUCAAUUAAAAUGUUACGUGAGUUGGGUUAAAUACGAUGUGAAUCAGUAUGGUUCCUAUCUGCUGAAGGAAAUAUUAUCAAAUUAAAUCUCAUUAUUAGUACGCAAGGACCAUAAUGAAUCAACCCAUGGUGUAUCUAUUGAUAAUAAUAUAAUAUAUUUAAUAAAAAUAAUACUUUAUUAAUAUAUUAUCUAUAUUAGUUUAUAUUUUAAUUAUAUAUUAUCAUAGUAGAUAAGCUAAGUUGAUAAUAAAUAAAUAUUGAAUACAUAUUAAAUAUGAAGUUGUUUUAAUAAGAUAAUUAAUCUGAUAAUUUUAUACUAAAAUUAAUAAUUAUAGGUUUUAUAUAUUAUUUAUAAAUAAAUAUAUUAUAAUAAUAAUAAUUAUUAUUAUUAAUAAAAAAUAUUAAUUAUAAUAUUAAUAAAAUACUAAUUUAUCAGUUAUCUAUAUAAUAUCUAAUCUAUUAUUCUAUAUACU
rnacentral:rRNA from 1 species